rnacentral:rRNA from 1 species
UACGGGGGGGGCAAGCGUUGUUCGGAAUUACUGGGCGUAAAGGGCUCGUAGGCGGCCUUCUAAGUCAGACGUGAAAUCCCCCGGCUUAACCUGGGAACUGCGUCUGAUACUGGAGGGCUUGAGUGCGGGAGAGGGAUGUGGAAUUCCUGGUGUAGCGGUGAAAUGCGCAGAUAUCAGGAGGAACACCAAUGGCGAAGGCAGCUCACUGGGACGGUAUUGACGCUGAGACGCGAAAGCGUGGGGAGCAAACAGG